rnacentral:tRNA from 1 species
GCCUGGGUGGCUCAGUCGGUUAAGCACCUGAUUUCGGCUCAGGUCGUGAUUCCGCAGUUUGUGAGUUCGAGCCCCACAUCGGGCU